AUUGAACGCUGGCGGCAGGCCUAACACAUGCAAGUCGAACGGUAGCACAGAGAGCUUGCUCUCGGGUGACGAGUGGCGGACGGGUGAGUAACGUCUGGGAAACUGCCCGAUGGAGGGGGAUAACUACCGGAAACGGUAGCUAAUACCGCAUAACGUCGCAAGACCAAAGUGGGGGACCUUCGGGCCUCACACCAUCGGAUGUGCCCAGAUGGGAUUAGCUAGUAGGUGGGGUAAUGGCUCACCUAGGCGACGAUCCCUAGCUGGUCUGAGAGGAUGACCAGCCACACUGGAACUGAGACACGGUCAGACUCCUACGGGAGGCAGCAGUGGGGAAUAUUGCACAAUGGGCGCAAGCCUGAUGCAGCCAUGCCGCGUGUAUGAAGAAGGCCUUCGGGUUGUAAAGUACUUUCAGCGGGGAGGAAGGCGGUGAAGUUAAUAGCUUCACCGAUUGACGUUACCCGCAGAAGAAGCACCGGCUAACUCCGUGCCAGCAGCCGCUGUAA
rnacentral:rRNA from 1 species